CCUGGUUGAUCCUACCUGUAGUCAUAUACUUGUCUCCAAUAUUAAGCCAUGCAUGUGUAAGUAUGAACUAAUUUAGACUAUGAACUAUGAAUGACUCAUUAAAUCUAUAAUAGUUUGUUUAAUGGUAUCUACUACUCAGAUAACCAUAAUAACUUUAGAGCUAAUAAGUGUAACAAACCCUAACUUUUGGAAGGGAUGUAUUUAUUAAAUAAAAGGUUGAAGUGGGCUAUGCUCUUUGCUCAAAUGAUUCAUGAUAACUCAUCAAAUUAAAUGGCUUUUGUGCAACAAUGCAUCAUUCAAAUUUUUAUCCUAUCAACUUUUGGUGGUAGGAUAGUGGCUUACUAUGGUGGUGACAGCUGACAAAAAACAAGGGUUUGAUUUUGGAAAGAGAGCUUGAGAAAUGGCUACCACAUCCAAGGAAGGUGGCAACCACACAAAUGACCCAAUCUUGACAUGUGGUACAUGAACUGGGCUUUAUGAAUCUAGUAAUUAGAAUGAGUAUAAUCUAAAUUCCUUAACAAGAAUCCAUUAGAGGGCAAGUCUAGUGCCAAUAGCUAUGGUAUUUCCAACUCCAAUAGUAUAUAUUUAAGUUGUUGCAGUUAAAAACCUUGUAGUUGAAACUUGGGUUGGGUCAUCCGGUCCAUCUCAUAGUAAGUACCAAUCUACUCAUCCUUAUAACCAAAGAUGUACUCCUAACCUUAAUUGGUCAAGUUAUUCCUUCGACACUAUUACUUUGCAAAAAUUAGAGUGCUUAAAGUAGGCCUGCAUUUGUUUUGCCAAGGAUGUUUUCAUUAAUCAAGAAUGAAAAUUAGGGGCUUAAAGAUGAUUAGAUACCAUCCUAGUCUCAACCAUAAAUAAUGACAACCUGGGAUUAAUGGAUGUUAUUUUUAGGACUCCACCAACACCUUAUGACAAAUCAAAGUCUUUAAGUUCCAAGGGGAAUAUGGUCACAAGGCUAAAACUUAAAGGAAUUAAUGGAAGGGCACCACCAAGAGUGAAGCCUACAAUUUAAUUUGACUCAACAUAAGGAAACUUAUCAAGUUUAGACAUAGUAAGGAUUGAUAGACUAAAAGCUCUUUCUUGAUUCUAUGGGUGGGUGGCACAUGUCCAUUCUUAGUUGGCGAAGCAAUUUGUCUAGUUAUUUCCAUUAACGAACAAGACAUUUGCUUGCUAACUAGCUAAGUAGAGGUGAUCCUUCAUGGCUAGCUUCUUAAAGGGACUAUAAUCACUUAUGCCAAGGAAGUCUGAGGUAAUAAUAAGUCUAUGAUGCCUUGAGAUGUUCUAGGCCCCAUAUGUACUACACUAAUGUAUUCAACAAGUCUAUAGCCUUGAUCGACAGGCCAAGUAACCUUUCAAAUUUCAUUAUGAUGGCGAUAGAUCAUUCUAAUUAUUGGUCUUUAAUAAGGACUUCCAAGUAAGUGUGAGUCAUCAAUUCAUGUUGACUAUGUCUCUACCUUUUGUACACACUACCUAUCACUCUUGCCGAUUGAAUGGUCUAUUGAAGUGUUCUAAUUGUAGUGAUGUAAAUGGUUCACUGCCUGUAACAUCAUAAGAAAUCCAUUAAACCUUAUCAUUUAGAGGAAGGAGAAGCUGUAACAAGGUUUUUUGUAGGUGAACCUAUGGAUG
rnacentral:rRNA from 1 species